UACAGAGGUCCCGAGCGUUGUUCGGAUUCAUUGGGCGUAAAGGGUGCGUAGGCGGCGGGGCCAGUCUGAUGUGAAAUCCCGGGGCUCAACCCCGGAACUGCAUUGGAUACUGCCUUGCUAGAGUACUGGAGAGGGAACUGGAAUUUACGGUGUAGCAGUGAAAUGCGUAGAGAUUAGGAAGAACACCAGUGGCGAAGGCGACUUUCUGGACUGUAACUGACGCUGAGGCUCGAAAGCGUGGGGAGCAAACAGG
rnacentral:rRNA from 1 species